ACAGAGCGCUCCGCGUCUGCGUCCUUCGCUGCCCAGUGGACAAUGAGGUUCCAGAGUGAUUCUCAUCCUGCCCCCCCCCACCCCCAGGGCUGGGCAUGUUUGGCGUGGGAUUUCCCAGGAAGGGUUUAGGACCGUCUGGUGAGGUGGGGCUAUUCACCGGGACACGAGGAAACCAGGACAUCUGAAGAGAGUUGACAGUUGGCAGUGACGUCGUGAACACUCAGUGUAGCUCGCCACAAGCCAGUUUCCUGUACGUUAGUGUCCUGGCCCCUCGCCAGCCCAGGCGCUUGGGUGCCCGGAAAGGCAUGCCCAACCCAACCCCAGAACUGUGGGGGGUUAUUUGGAAACAGGGUCUCUGCAGUGGUCAUUAGUGGAGGGUCCUGAGAUGGGCUCCUCCUGGGUCAGGGGACCCUCAUGCAGUGGCUGGGUCCUCCCAAGAGACGGAGGAGGGGACAUAGACCCAGAGGAGGAGCCCCGUGGAGACGGAGGCAGAGACUGCAGUGAGGGGCCACCCGCCCAGGGCCACCUGGAGCCCAGGAGCUGGACAGGCAGGGGGAGCCUCCGUGGUGGAGUCCGUGGAGGGAGCUCAGCCGGGGACCCUGGUCCAGCCUCCGCCCUCCAGGCCUGGGGAGCUGGACUCCUGUGGUUUAAGCCCUGGGUGUCUGGCACCUGGUCAGGCGGGGCUGGAAGUCACAAGCGGAGCUUGUUUAGACCCGGAGCCUCAGGGAAUGGUCUGGAGAGCUGUGCUUCCCACCCAGCCUGGCGGAGGUGCUUUUCUGAGAAACUGCCUGGUGGGUCUGUUUUGUCAGUUUGGUGCAUUUUAAAUGCCAGGCCCAAUCAGAGGGAGCCACCCUUCCUCCAGAGAGCCCAGACCCGCGCCUGUCUCUGGAGGGCCCGCUCUUUGUUUAAGGGUACGUUUGUUCCCUAAGUGGCUCGUGCUGUGGGCCUCUCCUUUCCCCUGUGGAGGGUGCGUCUGCCCCUCAGCAAGUUGCGCAUUUGAGUUGGGGGGAGCUGGGGGGCCGCGCCCGCUGCGCAGGAUGGUUGAGACCCUGCAGCAGCCGCAGAC
rnacentral:lncRNA from 1 species